CCCAUGGUGGCAGCGGUUGGAUUUUGCAAUUCGGAUCUCUCAUACAUCUCUCUGUCAAACCAUAAAAUAACAUGGUUAUUCGCCUCUGAGUCAGUGAGUGACUCAGCUCCAUUCAGGCAGGUCCAGCUAAGGAUUUCCAUACAGAGAAAGCUUGAAAUGUGAAUAUUGUGUGAGCGGGGAUUGGCUAGAAUCAGAAUCAGCACCUUUUUUAGCUAUUACUACAGGAAGUCUGGGUCUUCCUCUCGGGAAUAAAGUACUAUUUCCUACUUGGUAUUUACAAGGGAAGGGCUGGAAACUGUCACUUAAAAGGAAGUUAACACUUAAAAACUUUUUUUUUCUCAAUAUUUGUAAAUGUUUGAGCAUUUUUCCAGAUAAUGUUAAUGUCAGUGUUGGCAUUAUUAC